rnacentral:misc_RNA from 1 species
GAUGAAGAACGUAGUAAAAUGCGAUACUUGGUGUGAAUUGCAGAAUCCCGUGAACCAUCGAGUUUUUGAACGCAAGUUGCGCCCGAAGCCUUUUGGCCGAGGGCACGUCUGCCUGGGCGUCACGCAUCGCGUCGCCCCCCACAAUUCUCCGUAAAGGGAACAUGUGUUUUGGGGGCGGAUAUUGGUCUCCCGUGCUCAUGGCGUGGUUGGCCGAAAUAGGAGUCCUUUCGAUGGACGCACGAACUAGUGGUGGUCGUAAAAACCCUCGUCUUUUGUUUCGUGCUGUUGCUCGCAAGGUAAACUCUUUAAAAACCCCAAUGUGUCGUCUCUUGACGACGCUUCGACCGCGACCCCAGGUCAGGCGGGACUACCCGCUGAGUUUAAGCAUAUCAAUAAGCGGAGGA